CAAAAAUUGAAGUUAUUUUUAUAUGUGAAGAAACAAUAAUGAAAAUUAUUGACAAGAAGACCCUAAGAAUUUUUUUAAUUUAAUUAAAAAAUUUUUUAAUUAAAUUCUUUAAUUGGGGCGAUUAAUAAAAAUUAAAAACUUUGUUUUUUUAAAAAAGAACCAAUAAUAUUGGAAAUAUGAUAAAAAUACUCUAGGGAUAACAGCGUAAUAACUUUAGAUAGUUCAUAUAGACAAAGUAGUUUGCGACCUCGAUGUUGGAUUAGGAUACUUUUUUAAUGAAGAAGUUAAAAAAAGAAGUUUGUUCAACUUUUAAUUUCCUACUUGAUCUGAGUUCAGACCGGA
rnacentral:rRNA from 1 species